rnacentral:rRNA from 1 species
AACCUGUCCUAUAAUUGAUAACCCACGUUUAAAUUACUUGUUUCAGAAGUUUGUAUACCGUCGUAGAUGGACUAUUUUUUAAGAAUUUGUAAUGCUCAAGAAUUUUCAUUUGAAAGUAAAUCAGAUCAAGGUACAGCUAAUAUGCAAGGAGAGAUGGGUUACGUUGAAUAUAUUCAAGUAGGUUGGUCAUUGUAAUCGUGACUAGCAUUAUGAAUUUGAUAGUAAUGAAAUUUAACUUAUUUUCAUGAUUUUGCCCUAAAGCAUGUACAUAUCGCCCGUCACUCCCACCUUCAAAGUGGGAUAAGUCGUAACAUAGUAGGCGUACUGGAAAGUGUGCCUGGAUUGAUGGACCAGAGCUUGUUAGAAAGCGUUUUAUUUACACUAAGGAGUUAGUUGUGGAAAUCAACUUGGUUCAAAUUUACAUGAUUAUUACUGGUUGAUAAAAAAAGUAAUUUUUAGUUUUAUUACUUAUAAGGGAAAAAUAGUGUUAAUUAUAGUGAAUUAGUAUAGUGAUAGAAAUAUUAAAGUUUAAGUUAAAUGUUUAAAAGAAGAGUUAAUUUCUCGUACCUUGUGUAUCAGGGUUUAUUAAAUAAUAUUUAUAUUUGAUUAAAUUUCUCGAUUUUAAAAGAGCUAGGAGGUUAUAAAUUUUAUUGUUGAACAAAUAUUUCUAAUAAUCUUCUUGUAAUGAAACGUUAGUCGUUUUUAAAUAUAUCUAGUUUUUUGAGAAAUAAAUUUAAUUUAGUUAUUAGUUUGUGUUUAUUGGCUUAAUAGUUAGCCAUUCUCAACUAAUGGUAAAUAUCUCAGGGGAUAAGCUUUGGGAUAAAUUUUUAUAAUUACUGUCAAUUUUAUCAGAAUAUAUAGGAUUAGAAAUGUCCACUAUUAGUAGUUUGUUAUAAUUAGUUCUUGUAUGUAUAUGAUUUGUAUUUAUAUUUAAAUCUUUUAUCAAAAUUAUCUGUUUAAUUUGAUAACAGAUGUAAUAAUGAUAAAAUUAGUAUAAUUUUUUGUAUUCUUAAUUUUGUCUGUAAGGUUGGGUUAAGGAACUCGGCAAAUAGUUCUUCCGCCUGUUUAUUAAAAACAUGGCUUUUUGUUAUUAAUUUAAAGUCUGACCUGCCCAAUGAAAUUAUUUGAAUGGCCGCGGUAUUUUGACCGUGCAAAGGUAGCAUAAUAAUUAGCUUUUUAAUUGGAAGCUGGAAUGAAUGGUUGGACGAGAAGAAGACUGUCUCUAUCCAAAUUUUAUUAUAAUUUUAUUUUUAAGUAAAAAAGCUUAAAUGAUUUUAAAAGACGAGAAGACCCUAUAGAGUUUUAUAUUUUUAUUUGUCAGGAUGUUUUAGUAUCUGCUCUGAAUGACAGGUAGUAGUAUUUCGUUGGGGUGACGGGAAAAUUUGAUAAACUUUUCUUAUAUUUUCAACAUUGAUAUAUGAUUGAUUGGUCCAUAUUUUUGUGAUUAAAAGAUUAAAUUACCUUAGGGAUAACAGCGUUAUUUUUCUCGAGAGUUCUUAUCGAAAGAAAAGUUUGCGACCUCGAUGUUGGAUUAAAAUAAACUUCCGGUGCAGGAGCUGGAAAGUUAGGUCUGUUCGACCUUUAAAAUUUUACAUGAUCUGAGUUCAAACCGGAGA